UAGUUCUGAACAACGUUUUCU
rnacentral:piRNA from 1 species